rnacentral:rRNA from 1 species
UACGAAGGGGGCUAGCGUUGUUCGGAAUUACUGGGCGUAAAGGGCGCGUAGGCGGUUACGCAAGUCAGAUGUGAAAGCCCCAGGCUCAACCUGGGAACUGCAUUUGAAACUGCAUAGCUUGAGUAUGGGAGAGGUAAGUAGAAUUCCGAGUGUAGAGGUGAAAUUCGUAGAUAUUCGGAAGAAUACCAGUGGCGAAGGCGGCUUACUGGACCAUAACUGACGCUGAGGCGCGAAAGCGUGGGGAGCAAACAGG